CGGGGUUGCGAGCGUUGUCCGGAAUUACUAGGCGUAAAGGGCAGGCAGGCGGAUCCAUAAGUUUAUCGUUUAAGGCGUCGGCUUAACCGGCGUAGGGCGGUAGAUACUGUGGAUCUGGAAUGCGGUUGGGGAAGACAGAAUUCCUCGUGUAGCGGUGGAAUGCGCAGAGAUCAGGAGGAAUACCGAAGGCGAAGGCAGUCUUCCAAGCCGUUAUUGACGCUCAACUGCGAAGGUGUGGGUAUCAAACAGGAUUAGAUACCCUGGUAGUCCCU
rnacentral:rRNA from 1 species